rnacentral:rRNA from 1 species
GUACACGCUGUGACUAGCAUAUCAAUAAGCGGAGGAAAAGAAACUAACAAGGAUUCCCCUAGUAACGGCGAGUGAAGCGGGAAGAGCUCAAAUUUGAAAUCUUAAAGAGUUUCCCUUUACGAAUUGUAGUUUAAAGAAGUGUUUUCUGUUGAGGUUUUGGUAAAAGUUCUUUGGAAUAGGACAUCAUAGAGGGUGAGAAUCCCGUAUUUGACCUUUACUUUCAACUUUGUGAUACACUUUCAAAGAGUCGGAUUGUUUGGGAAUGCAGUCCAAAAUGGGUGGUAAAUUUCAUCUAAAGCUAAAUAUUGGCGAGAGACCGAUAGCGAACAAGUACCGUGAGGGAAAGAUGAAAAGAACUUUGAAAAGAGAGUUAAACAGUACGUGAAAUUGUCAAAAGGGAAGCGUUUGACACCAGUGUUGUUUUUCUGAAAAUCAAUUAAAGGAACUGUUUAUGCUAAGUUGUUUAGACUUUAUCAGCUAACUGUUUAGUUUUGAGCUUUUCUUUAAUGCACUUUUCAGUUAACAAGUCAACAUCAAUUUCUUCUGCUGUAAAAAAGCUUGAGGAAGGUGGCUUGAGAUUCGUCUUAAGUGUUUAUAGCCUCUUGCCUAUGCAGUCGGAGAGAUUGAGGUCUGCAGCGUAGAUCCUUCGGGGCUAAAUGCAUUUGUGCUAAGUUAUAGCAUUUUAUAGACAACUUGUUGACUAUGAUUUGUCUUGUAGCUUACUCGCUUAUGUUAUUUUACCUACGCUUAGGAUGUUGACGCGCGUGUGUGCGUG